UACCGAUGGCGACCGGCGCACGGGUGAGUAACACGUAUCCAACCUGCCGAUAACUCGGGGAUAGCCUUUCGAAAGAAAGAUUAAUACCCGAUGGUAUAAUCAGACCGCAUGGUUUGAUUAUUAAAGAAUUUCGGUUAUCGAUGGGGAUGCGUUCCAUUAGGCAGUUGGUGAGGUAACGGCUCACCAAACCUUCGAUGGAUAGGGGUUCUGAGAGGAAGGUCCCCCACAUUGGAACUGAGACACGGUCCAA
rnacentral:rRNA from 1 species